CCCCCUCUCUUACUCUUCCUCCUCCUCCCAUCUUCCUCUUUCCCAUCAUCCUCUUCCUCCUCCCAGUCCUCUCCCCUCCUCCUCCUGUCUUCCUCCUCCUCCUCACCCCUCCUCUUCCUCCCUCCUGCUUUCCCUAAUGAUUUUGUGGUAUUAAUAAUGAAAGCUGUCACAGAAGCGUGUAACCAGUAUUUUCACUCCUACCGCAUCAGCCCUCGUGUCAGUGGUGAUAUUGAGCAGGUAGCUACUCACACCAGCUCUAAACAGAAAUAUCUAUUUCAUAUCCAUACGUAUAACUUCAAAUCACACACAUUUAACCACAUCAUCCCAAUACAGGGAAACUGCUGGAGGCUUCAUUAAUGCUUAUUUACCAACAAGCAGCAGCAACAGAGUAGGCCUACUGUUAGCCAAACAUGGAGGGAAAAACCAGUAAAGCUUAGACAGUAUUGACAUAUACACAAGCAAGAUAGAGGAACAUAGCCUCUAUACAACACAGACCAGUUCCCUCUGUUUGAUGUCAAACACUGAUUCCUAAUUAAAGAAACUGUUGAAUCAACACAACUGCAACCUGUGUUUCUAAAGAUCACAGUUUUCAUACACCAACACUGUCAAAGGAACAGAAGCUGGCCAGCCUAAAAUACUCAGCUCAAUGUAACAGCUGAUAUUCCAGUUUGUCCAAGGAGGACUUAAGCCACCAUUGAACUUCACCAACCAUAGCAUGAUCUAUGAGUAAAGUAUAACACUGUUACAACAAUACACUGUAUCAAGGCUAGAUACUAGGACACAGAUGGCUCAAUCCAAUCUGUGGUUGCAGAGUUGUGUAUUAAAGCUUUGAUACAAUUGCACUUGGACAUUUGCCCAACAAUUUCCUGUUACAACAACACAGAUUAAUACACAGAUAUUUCAUUUGUUCAUACUUGCCUGACUGGCAAAACACUUUAUAUCACAAUACUCCCUGCUGUUAUCUAGAAAGCAGUCAGGCAGAGAGGUGAGAGGAAAGAGGGGGGAGGGGGAAGGAGGAGAGAGGAGGAGGGAGGGAUGGACGGAGGAGAGAGGAGGGAUGGAGGGGGAGGGGGAGGGAGGAGGGAGGGGGAGAGGGAUGGAAAGAGAGAGGAGAGAGGAGAGAGGGGGAGGGAGGAGAGAUGGGGAGGAGAGAGGGGAGGGAGGGAGGGCGGGAGGGAGGGAGGAUAGAGGAGAGAGGAGAGAGGGGGAGGGAGGAGAGAGGAAAGAAGAGGGGGGGAGAGAGGAGGGAGAAUAGAGGGGGAGGGAGGAGAGAGGAGGAGGGAGGGAGGGAGGGAGAGAGGAGAGAGAGGGAAGGGAGGAGAGAGGAGAGAGGAGGGAGGAGAGAGGGGGAGGGAGGAGAGAGGAGAAGGAGGGAGGAGAGAGGGGGAGGGAGGAGAGAGAGGAGAGGAGAGGGGGAGGAGAGAGGAGGAAGAGGGAGGAGAGAGAGGAGAGGAGAGGGGGAGGGAGGAGAGAGGAGGGAGGUGGGAUGAGAUAGGAAGGAGGUGGGAGGAGUGAGGAGUGGAGGGAGAGGAGGAAGAGAGAGGAGGGAGGAGAGAGGAGGGAGUUUGGAGGAGAGAGGAGAGGAGGAAGAGAGAGGAGGGAGGAGAGAGGAGGGAGUUUGGAGGAGUGGAGGGAGUGGGGGAGGAGAGAGGAGGGAGGUGAGAGGAGGUAGAGGGAGGAGGGAGGUGAGAGGAGGGAGUUUGGAGGAGAGAGGAGAGGAGGAAGAGAGAGGAGGAAGAGAGAGGAGGGAGUUUGGAGGAGUGGAGGGAGUGGGGGAGGAGAGAGGAGGGAGGUGAGAGGAGGAAGCAGGGGGUUAAUACAGGAUAAAGUCUGGCAUCUCUAGAACGCUGCAUGUUCUGAA
rnacentral:lncRNA from 1 species